rnacentral:rRNA from 1 species
UACGAAGGGGGCAAGCGUUGUUCGGAAUUAUUGGGCGUAAAGGGCGCGUAGGCGGCCACCGCAAGUCGACUGUGAAAUCUCCGAGCUUAACUCGGAACGGUCAACUGAUACUGUGCGGCUAGAGUGCGGAAGGGGCAACUGGAAUUCUUGGUGUAGCGGUGAAAUGCGUAGAUAUCAAGAGGAACACCUGCGGCGAAGGCGGGUUGCUGGGCCGACACUGACGCUGAGGCGCGAAAGCCAGGGGAGCGAACGGG